rnacentral:rRNA from 1 species
UAUCUCUGUAGAGUCUGCAUAUCAAUAAGCGGAGGAAAAGAAACUAACAAGGAUUCCCUUAGUAACGGCGAGUGAAGCGGGAAGAGCUCAAAUUUGAAAUCUUCAAGGUUUUACCUUGACGAAUUGUAGUUUAAAGAAGUGUUUUCUGUUAGAUGAGUAGCAAAAGCUCCUUGGAAUGGGACAUCAUAGAGGGUGAGAAUCCCGUAUUUGGUUAUUCAUUCUAGCUUUGUGAUACACUUUCAAAGAGUCGGAUUGUUUGGGAAUGCAGUCCAAAAUGGGUGGUAAAUUUCAUCUAAAGCUAAAUAUUGGCGAGAGACCGAUAGCGAACAAGUACCGUGAGGGAAAGAUGAAAAGAACUUUGAAAAGAGAGUUAAACAGUACGUGAAAUUGUCAAAAGGGAAGCGUUUGACACCAGUGUUGUUUUUCCGAAAAUCAAUUACGAAUGGCUUGAUUUUGUGUCGUAUUGACCUUAUCAGCUUUCUGCACUUUUUUCGAGUCUUUCUUAAUGCACUUUUCGGUUAACAAGUCAACAUCAAUUUCUUUUGUUGUAAAAGAGUAUUCGGAAGGUGGCUUUCUUUUCGGAGAAAGUGUUUAUAGCCCUAUACUUCUACAAUCGGAGAGAUUGAGGUCUGCAGCGUAGAUCCUUCGGGGUUAGAUACACUUGUGCUAAGUUGUAGCUUUUCAUAGACAACUUGUUGACUAUGUUUAGUCAUGCGGCUUACUCGCUUGUGCUAUUUUACCUACGCUUAGGAUGUUGACUGAUAUGUAGUCGUA